UUAGAUUUAUAUUUUUACAGUAACUUGAUAACAGCAAAACUACAGACAGACCACAGGACUCAUUUUCAAAAUACAAUGACAGUAACUUUAUAUUUGCACUAGUUUUAUGUGUCAGAUUGAAAUAUUCAAAUUAGUGUUUCACCUGUUGUUACAUUUUAACCUUUACCUAAAGCUGUUUGGAAACUACUAAGAUUUCUGAACAUAAUAAAAACCUGUUAUCAAAUGUUUUAUACUCCCAUAGAGCACAUUAGUGAUCAUGAUUACUGCUGUUAAAAAAUUAUCAAGGCAUAAUCAUGUCACGAAAUACCUGAAUGCCAUUUUAUUACUUUAUGAGAUUGGAAAUGACUGGAAAUGAAGACGAGGAGUUGCCCUGUUUUUUCACAUAUCUUUAUUACUGUGAAAAAGAAAGGCCAGCAUUGACCAGGACAUGAACAACAGGCUAUCGUCACUUUUUUGUAUUCACAAAUUAAAAAGUGUUUUUGCCCUGGAGAUGGAAACCAAACCAAACUAGAUCAAACCAAUAACCGCAACACAAGCAAAGCAGCAUGUCGUCCUUGUAAAAAGAAGUAAAAAACGAACAAGCCAAGAGGCAAGUUUCUAUUUUACAUGUUUUAUUCAUUAUCAGCACAACAAUGAAAACAACACAAAAACAAAAAACAAACAGAAUCACAUAUAUUUAAAAUCAUUACAUGCAUUUACAAAUACAUAUAUAGGGAAAAGAGGAGAUAAAGAAAAGAAGAAAAGAAAAAAAAAACUACAAAAAAACAAUUAUUUACGAUCUACCAUCUUCACUCCAGCAGUGGACCUUGGAUUCAUUGGGUGUUUCGGCCACGUCUAUCACUAGACACCCUUAUCCAAGGAGGCCCUGCCAGGGUUGAUCAGGCCCUGGAGUGUGUCACUGGUUUAUGUUAAAAUUGUUAUUUCUCUUCUACUUCUCUUCUACUUUCUUCUGUUUAGUUUUCUACAAUUUACUUUCUUGUACCUCUUUAAUAUUUAUGGAGCCUCACUUUUUCAAAGGAAUAGAAAAGGUGAUAGAGAGAAGUAAGACAACAGAGAAAAGAUCAGAGAGGAGAGCUGGAAGGGGGGCGCCUGAUCUGGCAUCCUAAACUCCCCCACUGGAUCGGACUACAUCCUACACCCCCCCCCCCCCCCCCCCCCCCCUCACCGUAUCUAAAAGCAUACUUAAAAGAGAGGCAGUGGAAACCUCCUUUAGGUUUCAUUACCAUGAUGUUAACUGCACGGCCCCCAGGAGGCCCUGAGACAGCUGUAUCAGUCAACCAGCAGAAUUUCU
ensembl:lncRNA